CUUGUUACGUGUCGGAUAAUUCUGAGAUGCCGCCAAAUUCAAAAAGAGACAAGCUUCCAGCCUUGGAACCAAUUAGAGCAGGAGGACUCCCUUCAAGAGUACACCAGAGGCAUCUUCAGUUUGGAGAAAGAGAGAGAGUGAAAGAGAGAGAGCCAGGUGCUACUGUCAUUUCUCUAGAGAAGUAAUCAACAGCAUUUCUGUUUUAAGGAAGAAAGUAAGUCAUACAGGUUUGAAUUGACGUGAGGAGAUCAACGGGGGUAAACCUCUGCCCAGCAUUUUGAUGAACAUUCGAGCAUGUAGUCCACAAUAAAAUUAUUAUCUGGGAAAUAAGUUCUAUAUAGACAGCACACUUUAUGACCCACUCCUGCGAGUUUAAGGAUUGCUUGGAAUAUGCGUUGGGAAAGACCCUACCUUCAAAAACAUCCACCAUAUUGAAGAAGGCCAGAGACAGCGAUGACUUUCCACUGCCCGUUCUACCACAGAUGCCCACCUAAAUGUCACGGAGAUGGAGAGGGAAGAAAGUAGGAGCUCAACACAGCGUGACAUUUUCAGAUUGCUCUUUUAUAAACACGCUCGGGGCUGCUGCUGUUCUUCUUAAUAAUACAAACUAGUGAAGACAGUAACAAUUUAUCAUGUCACAAUGAGAAGCUGUUUGUGCCUUCAUACUGUUUUAUUGCCAUGUUAUAUAUUGAGAACAAAUUCGUACAAAUAAUAAAAAUAAAAAACUGACAUAGGAAAUGCAAAAUGUUUACAAACUUGAUAAAGUGUAUAAAAUAUCAGAAGUUAACAGAAAGAUUUGUUUUAUUCAACCUGUACUAUUUGUUUAGCGUUUAGCACCAAAGAACUGUGGUUUGACCAGGCAAU